GACGAACGCUGGCGGCGUGCUUAACACAUGCAAGUCGAACGAAGAGCGAUGGAAGCUUGCUUCUAUCAAUCUUAGUGGCGAACGGGUGAGUAACGCGUAAUCAACCUGCCCUUCAGAGGUGGACAACAGUUGGAAACGACUGCUAAUACCGCAUACGAUCUAAUCUCGGCAUCGAGGAUAGAUGAAAGGUGGCCUCUACAUGUAAGCUAUCACUGAAGGAGGGGAUUGCGUCUGAUUAGCUAGUUGGAGGGGUAACGGCCCACCAAGGCGAUGAUCAGUAGCCGGUCUGAGAGGAUGAACGGCCACAUUGGGACUGAGACACGGCCCAGACUCCUACGGGAGGCAGCAGUGGGGAAUCUUCCGCAAUGGACGAAAGUCUGACGGAGCAACGCCGCGUGAGCGAUGACGGCCUUCGGGUUGUAAAGCUCUGUUAAUCGGGACGAAAGGCCUUCUUGCGAAUAGUGAGAAGGAUUGACGGUACCGGAAUAGAAAGCCACGGCUAACUACGUG
rnacentral:rRNA from 1 species